UAAAUGUAUUCCAUUUAGUUCAUUCACUGUUAUAAUUAUUCGUCAUAUUUAAUUGUCUUUUAGUACAUGACGUUGCUUAGAAUAUUACUUUGAGUUGGUUUAUUAUUUGCCAGAAAUGAAAUGAAAUGAUAUGAUGCGUUACCUCCCCUUUCAAUUUAAUUAAAUUAGGUCAUUUUAAUUAUAUAAUAAUAAUAAUAAUAAUAAUAAUAAUAUUGUAUACCAGCUUACAUUUAUUUCAUACCGUUGUAUAAUUAGUCAGUUUCGCAGCGCCUUCCAAUCUUUAGGUUUCCUAUCUCGUAUGGCUGUAAUCACAUAAAAGUCGACUAUAACCUGCUAUAGCGUAUAGGAAUGUUUGUUAUUUUAAUUGCCCAAUCAAAUUAAUUGGCAUGUUCUGGUGAAGAAUCAUCAUUGGGUCACGAAAAUACAUCUGACCAGAAUUAACAGAUACUUGGAAAAAGGUUUUCCUAGAAGUCUAUAUUAUUCUACUAUUAUUCCUCAGGUGUAGCUGUGAAAGUGAUGAUUAAUGUGACUCUGAAAGAACAGUAUAUAAUUAUAAUAUUCUUGGCGUUGUUUAUCUUCACUUGAGCAGGUGUACGGUAUAGCUUACAUUGGAUAUAUGCUUGUGUUGCUUACAAAGCGGUCAGUCAAAAGUAUUCGACCGUCGAUUAUAGUCUCACAAUUACGCAUGCAUGCAUAUUCGCUUUUCUUUUCACGCAUUUCAGCACAGGAAAUGAAGCCUUGGUCGAUUUUGAAUCGCGCGUAUAUUUAA